rnacentral:rRNA from 1 species
GACGAACGCUGGCGGCGUGCUUAACACAUGCAAGUCGAACGGAAAGGCCCUGCUUUUGUGGGGUGCUCGAGUGGCGAACGGGUGAGUAACACGUGAGUAACCUGCCCUUGACUUUGGGAUAACUUCAGGAAACUGGGCCUAUUACCGGAUAGGAGCUCCUGCUGCUUGGUGGGGUUUGGAAGGUUUCGGCGGUUGGGGAUGGACUCGCGGCUUAUCAGCUUGUUGGUGGGGUAGUGGCUUACCAAGGCUUUGACGGGUAGCCGGCCUGAGAGGGUGACCGGCCACAUUGGGACUGAGAUACGGCCCAGACUCCUACGGGAGGCAGCAGUGGGGAAUAUUGCACAAUGGGCGGAAGCCUGAUGCAGCAACGCCGCGUGCGGGAUGACGGCCUUCGGGUUGUAAACCGCUUUCGCCUGUGACGAAGCGUGAGUGACGGUAAUGGGUAAAGAAGCACCGGCUAACUACGUG